rnacentral:rRNA from 1 species
UAGGGAAUCUUCGGCAAUGGGGGCAACCCUGACCGAGCAACGCCGCGUGAGUGAAGAAGGUUUUCGGAUCGUAAAGCUCUGUUGUAAGAGAAGAACGUGUGUGAGAGUGGAAAGUUCACACAGUGACGGUAACUUACCAGAAAGGGACGGCUAACUACGUGCCAGCAGCCGCGGUAAUACGUAGGUCCCGAGCGUUGUCCGGAUUUAUUGGGCGUAAAGCGAGCGCAGGCGGUUUAAUAAGUCUGAAGUUAAAGGCAGUGGCUUAAUCAUUGUUCGCUUUGGAAACUGUUAAACUUGAGUGCAGAAGGGGAGAGUGGAAUUCCAUGUGUAGCGGUGAAAUGCGUAGAUAUAUGGAGGAACACCGGUGGCGAAAGCGGCUCUCUGGUCUGUAACUGACGCUGAGGCUCGAAAGCGUGGGGAGCAAACAGG